rnacentral:lncRNA from 1 species
CACUUGCUUUGUGCCAGGGAAUUUCCAAGCACUUUACAUGGGUCAGCUUAUUUAAGUCUAACAAUAACUUCAUGUGGGUGGGAUUACUGACCCAUUAUAUAGAUGAAGAAACAGAGGUGGUGAGGGACUAAGUAGCUGGGUCCAGGACACACAGCUAGUAAGUGAUAGAGUUGUCCAACCAUAGCGCCCAUGCUCUUAACAGUGAUGCCUCGCUGUCUGACCUGGGUCUUAGGAGUAGUGGUAUCUGGCUAGUGGGAUUUACAUCUUUCUUAGUUUUGCCUAUCUCAGUUGCUAAAAUUUUUACCAUGAGCCUAUAUUUGUUUUGCAAAUAAAAUUUUUUUGGCAAUAAAAAGACUAGUAAUACAAAGAUGAUUUCCUUUAUAUCUCUACAUUUCCAUUUUCUCUUCUUUGUGAAACCUUAUUACUAUAGAUGGUAUAUUUACUAUAUAUACAUACACAUAUGUAUAAUAUGCAUGUCUUAUCUAUGAUAUGUAACAGUAUAUGAUGUAUAUGCACAUAAAUAAUAUAUCCAUUUUAUACUUGUGAACUGAACAUUUGUUGCUGUUCCCCCCAAAUUCGGAUGUUGAUAGAACUCUAACCCCCAUUGUGGCAGUACUUGGAGGUGGGCCUCUCCUUAGGAAGUUAAGGUUACAUGAGGUCAUGAGGAUGGAGCUCUGAUCUGAUAGGAUGAGGAUCCUUAUAAAAGGAGACCCUGUAUGCUCCCUAAUCCCCACCCUCCAGGUACAUGCCCCAAGGAAAUGAGGCUACAUGAGGACACAGCAAGAAGGUGGCUGUCUGCAAGCCAGAAAGAGAGCCCUCCCCAGAGACUGAACCAGCUAGAACCAUGAUCUUGGACUUCCAGCCUCCAGAACUGUUAUUCUAGGUCGACUUCCGUGUCUGGAUGUAACCAAAUCACCAGCCAGACCGUGACCAGGACACAUCAUACCGCUUGCCCCCGGCAGAGAUCCUGUGCCCACAUGUGAUAAGCUCCCAGGAGACCACAAGCUACUUGGAGGUAGGACCAAGUGGUGUACAUAACGACCAGACAGCCACAAAGAGUCCCUUGCUCAGACAGGUGUUCAGCAACUCUUCCCAGAGCAAAACAUGCCUGUCUUGCCCACUGCGGAGUAACUGCAAGGCAGCGCACUGCUCCUCUGGGGUCUCAGACCCAAUGGCAGCCUUACAAGAAUAAACUCAAGCUGUUUUAAAAAAUAUUUUUAAACAGCAAACCUCUCCUCUCUAAAUGACAUUUAAUUGCUUCAAAGAUCAAGAGAAGGCAACUUCUUUGUGGCUGGGCGUGCAAACAACCUGCGUUCUUCAGGGCUCUGGGUAUGGGUUACAAGAUUCAUCGUGACUCAAUUCUCCAAUCCACUGAGUUUUGGAGGACACAGGCAGUGUGUCACUGCAGAUGGACUGCCAACCCCCAAUUAAACUGUUCUGGAUGGCUACUGGUGGUGACCUUCAGGUGACAUUGGUCAAGCCUCAAAGGAGUGUGGCCACCCAACCCUAGCAGAGUUUGAGUGUGCCAGGUGCUCAUUACUGAACCCACUUCUCAGUCUACAUCAAACAACCAUGCUGGCCAGAAAUGGUGUGCUGAGUUCUGACGAUACAGAAACACCACACUACUGAUGAUACAGGUGCAUACAUGAAACCUCCUGGUGGCAGGAAGACUCGUUCCUGAGGGCCUGAUGGCUCCCACACCGAGGAAUGCUCUGCCAGAGGCCAGUCCAUUUCAGGCACAGUUAUAACCCACUCCAUAAAGGUUGUGCCAGGGAGAAAAUUAUGACAGGACCUUGCUUGAAAGAAGAGGCAGUCACAAGGCCCCAUGGGGCUUACCUUCCAGGAUGGACUGGCCCUGGGUUUGGGAUUGCAUCAAUUUCAUUUCUGGCUCUCAUGAGUCGGAUUCCCUCUUUUCUCAGAGUAUGGAAGCCAGUGGAGCGUGGCAAAGGUGUCUGGCACCCUGUCUUUGCUGCUUCCUGUGAAAACGAGAUGGUCUGCCUGAAAUGAUACAUUGGCUGUUUCAUUUCUGGGCUCCCCUUGUGUCUUUUUUUUUUAAAGACAGAGACGGGGUCUCACUAUGUUGCCCAGGCUGUCCUCGAACUCCUACGCUCAAGGAAUCUUCCUGCCUCAGCCUCCCAAAGAGCAGGAUUAUGAACGUGAGCCAUUACGCCCAACUUCCCCUAAUCUCUUGUGCUUGGCAUAAUGCUGGUAUGCAGUAGGUGCUCAAUAAAUGCUGA